rnacentral:rRNA from 1 species
AUGACGGCGUACAUGGCGAAAAGCGGAGAAUCGGGCGACUCGCCGGCUCCCAAGGAGGCGCUGCUUCCAGCAGGGCACCCGGCCGGCCACCACGGCCUCCAGGCCUACACCGGCAACUACAUCGAGGUCCCUGCAGGCACGUGCGUCGAGUCCCCCUACCACUACAGCAAGUACCCCGGCCUCGGCCCCAAGAUUGCCGCCGGUGUGUUCCUCCGCACCCCGCCCGUCCCCGUCAACCUCGACCUCUCGGCCAUCGCAGGGCGAUUCUCCAACCUCCAGUCCAUGGCGCUGUCCGGCGACACCACCCUCGAAGCCUUCAGGCCACCCGUGACAAGGAUUUUUCAACCCUCUGUUGUGGUGCAAUCCCCACGGGAUUAUCGCACUAUUGCCUUAAUUCGCAACUACAUGAGGAAGGCUAGGGUACUGCGGGCAGAGAAUCUGGAAGCUCUAAUUGACAAGCGAAUUGACAAACAUGAGAAGAAAAAGCUUGAAGCUGAGCGUCUCCUUCUAGAGGAAGAAAGGAGGAAGUUUGAGGAGGAAAAGAGGAACUUUGAGUUAGAGAAAAAGCUGUUUCCUCAGAAAAAAGUAGCUGUGGAUGAUGAAAAGAAGGAGACAAAGCAGUCUUUAUUUGAGAGCACAAUUGAUACAGCUGACAAGCAUGUCACACUUUUUGAGAAGAUCAUCAGUAUCCCCCAAAAAGGAGAGACAUUCGGGAAGACCAUAACUGAAAAUGCAGAAGUUAUUCUUAAGAAACUCAAGGUACUUAAGGAGAAGAGGAUACCAAGGAGCAUUACUUCCUCAGGAGUGGCCGGGAUUUACUUCUUCAAGGAAGAAAUGAAGGAGUGGACUGGGAUGAGGGUUGGGGAAUCAAAUGGGGAAUCAAAUGCUGUCCUGAACGUAGGAAAUGGAAAGGUUACUGCAAAUGGGUUCCACAAGGCAGGGAAUGGAGGCAAGGGUGCUUCCUCAACCGGCGUCGACCCUGCUUCCUCAACCGGCGUCGACCCUGCUUCCUCAACCGGCGUCGACCCUGCUUCCUCAACCGCCGUCGCCCCUGCUUCCUCAACCGCCGUCGCCCCUGCUUCCUCAACCGCCGUCGCCCCUGCUUCCCCAACCGGCGUCGCCCCUGGUGUGACUGGAGCUCAGGUUGGAGGUGAACCCAAGGUUGAGUGA